rnacentral:ncRNA from 4 species
AGCCAAAUGCCUCGUCAUCUAA